AACGAACGCUGGCGGCAUGCCUAACACAUGCAAGUCGAACGAGACCUUCGGGUCUGGUGGCGCACGGGUGAAUAACGGGUGAGAACCUGGGCUAAGGGUCGGAAUAACUCCCCUAAAGGGGGGCUAAUACCGGAAAAUCUCUUCGGAACAAAGAUUUAUGGCCUUUGGGUGGGCCCGCGUUGGUUUAGCUGGGUGGUAGGGUAAAAGCCUACCAAGGCGAUGAUCCAUAGCUGGUCUGAGAGGAUGAUCAGCCACACUGGGAAUGAGCCACGGCUCAGACGCGUACGGGAGGUAGCAGUGGGGAAUAUUGGAGAAUGAGCGAAAUCCUGCUCCAGCAAGGCCGCGUGAGUGAUGAAGGCCUUAGGGUCGUCAAGCUCUUUUACCCGGGAUGAUAAUGACAUAACCGGGGGAAGAAGCCCCGGCUAAUUCCUU
rnacentral:rRNA from 1 species